GUUAAGCGACUAAGCGUACACGGUGGAUGCCCUGGCAGUCAGAGGCGAUGAAGGACGUGCUAAUCUGCGAUAAGCGUCGGUAAGGUGAUAUGAACCGUUAUAACCGGCGAUUUCCGAAUGGGGAAACCCAGUGUGAUUCGUCACACUAUCAUUAACUGAAUCCAUAGGUUAAUGAGGCGAACCGGGGGAACUGAAACAUCUAAGUACCCCGAGGAAAAGAAAUCAACCGAGAUUCCCCCAGUAGCGGCGAGCGAACGGGGAGCAGCCCAGAGCCUGAAUCAGUGUGUGUGUUAGUGGAAGCGUCUGGAAAGGCGCGCGAUACAGGGUGACAGC
rnacentral:rRNA from 4 species